rnacentral:rRNA from 1 species
AUGGCAGCUCCUUCAGCAUCUCCACGCCGACACCCACACCAGCUCCGCGCGCUGCCAAUGCAGGACCAGCGAUCCGGCGCGCUUCUCCACGCGGAAGCCCCUCACCGGCACCUUCUUCAGGAGCGAGUCGGCCUGCGCCUCGGCGAAGUUGCUUAUGUGCACCGGCACGAACCCGGCCGAGGUGAACAUUGUCCGCCAUGGCAGCAGCUUGUCGCCGGCGGCCGCGGCCUGGUGCCUCCUCAUCACGCAGCUCUCGAUCUUUGGCUGGAUCAGGAAGCGCUCGAUCUUGCUCGCCACGUCGGGCUCGGUGCCCACGGCGUCCAGGGACUCGAGCAGGAACGCGCACGACUGGAAUGCCUGGAGCAGGUGCGCCGCGAACGGCAGCUCGCCGCGGUCACCACUGCGGUCGACCGAGAUGACAAGCUUGGCGCCCAGCCGCCUCACCAGGUGAAGGACCGACGGCACCGCGGCAGCGUGAACUGA